rnacentral:rRNA from 1 species
CCUACGGGAGGCAGCAGUGAGGAAUAUUGGUCAAUGGCCGUAAGGCUGAACCAGCCAAGUCGCGUGAAGGAAGAAGGAUCUAUGGUUUGUAAACUUCUUUUAUAGGGGAAUAAAGGUAUCCACGUGUGGAUAUUUGCAUGUACCCUAUGAAUAAGCAUCGGCUAACUCCGUGCCAGCAGCCGCGGUAAUACGGAGGAUGCGAGCGUUAUCCGGAUUUAUUGGGUUUAAAGGGUGCGUAGGUUGUUUUUUAAGUCAGCGGUGAAAGUUUGUGGCUCAACCAUAAAAUUGCCGUUGAAACUGGAAGACUUGAGUGUGUUUGAGGUAGGCGGAAUGCGUGGUGUAGCGGUGAAAUGCAUAGAUAUCACGCAGAACCCCGAUUGCGAAGGCAGCUUACUAAGCCAUAACUGACACUGAAGCACGAAAGCGUGGGUAUCAAACAGGAUUAGAUACCCCAGUAGUC